GACGCGAUAGCACAGUGGUUAACUAGGCUUGACCUGAGAUUGUAAAGUCCUGAGUUCAAGUCCCGGUCGCGGCC